GGUACCUCUGCAUGGUUGAUUGACUUCUUGUUUCUCUUCAGCAUCCAAAACGAAUGAUGAACAAGCAGAGGAGAUGCUUAGCCUCCCACAAUGCAAUGGAGGAGAGGGAAGUAGUUCUUGUGAACAAACGUGUGAUGAACAAGAGCCCCAGGAUGACCUGCCCUCAUCCCUGAGACAAGAAGCAG